rnacentral:rRNA from 1 species
AUGAUUUUUUUUUCAUAUUUCUACGCAUUUCAGGCCAUCCUUACAGGUUGUUCUGCUGGUGGUCUAGCAAUGAUAGUGCAUUGCGACGAUUUUAGUGCACGAUUUUCUCACAAGGUUUCGGUUAAAUGCCUUGUCGAUGCUGGGUUUAUUCUUGACGUAAAGGAUAUAUCUGAACAAAGGUCCUUCCGAUCUCUCUAUGGUGGAGUCGUUCAUCUCCAGAAUGUUAGACAAGUGUUGCCCAAGGACUGCCUUACCAACAAAGAGCCAACUGAGUGUUUCUUCCCUGCGGAACUUAUUAAGAGCAUCCACACCCCCAUGUUUAUUGUCAACUCUGGGUAUGAUCCAGCGCAGAUACGAAAUGUGAUCGUACCAGCUUCGUCGGCUCCUGAUAAGUCGUGGUUGAGUUGCAAGGAUAAUAUCCGGAACUGCAAUUCCACACAAAUUGAUGUUCUUGAUGGACUAAGGACCACGAUGGCUGAUGCAUUAAAGGUUGUUAAAGAUAAAGAGGACUGGGGAUUUUUCAUCGACUCAUGCUUCACUCAUUGCCAAACGGUCCUUGAUGUCUCAUGGAAUUCACAUAAUUCCCCGAGGCUUGGAAAUAAAACCAUUGCAGAAGUUGUUGGAGAUUGGCACCGUGGAAGGACGCAAGGAGUGAAAGAGGUUGACUGCAAGUAUCCGUGCAACCCAACAUGCAAUAGUCAGUCACCUUUAUGA